rnacentral:miRNA from 1 species
GCAGACACAUUCCAGCCAAUCAGCAGCAGACCCUCCCUCCCAGACCCGCCCACCUCGUGGACAGCAUCCAUUUUGAAGCUGCAUUCUUAGUGAGCUGUCCAGGAGGUGGGAGGGUUUGGGAGGGAGGGUCUGCUGCUGAUUGGCUGGAAUGUGUCUG